GGAUAUAAAGAUGAUCUGUCUGUGACAUGUCACCCAUGGAUCACCAGGCUGAUGUAGCCGGCUAGGGGAAUGUCCUCCUCUUCCCUCACCGCUCCACGUGUUUCCCUCCCGAAGCUGCUGCAAGCUCAGUGGACGAGGGCGACCACCCUUGAGAGUGGAGGACAUUUCCUUGCUUAAGGGUAUAUGAGUAGCUGCAUUCCCCUGCUAGAACCUCCAAACAAGCUUUAUAAGUCCUAGGAGUUUUUAUAUACAAUAUUCAUUCAUUCUACAAAUAUGUGAGCUCUGGGGCAGUCAGCAUAUUGU
rnacentral:snRNA from 1 species